rnacentral:rRNA from 1 species
CAAUAGCGUAUAUUAAAGUUGUUGCAGUUAAAAAGCUCGUAGUUGAAUUUCUGGUGGGCGCGCCGGUCUUCCAAGUGUUGUACUGGGCGCAGUCCGCCAUCCUUGUGGAGAGGGCUCGCAUUGAGUUGCGUGUCGGAUCUGCAUCAUUUACUGUGAAAAAAUUAGAGUGUUUAAAGCAGGCUGUCGCUUGAAUACAUUAGCAUGGAAUAAUAAGAUAGGACUUCGGUCUAUUUUGUUGGUUGCGAACCGAGGUAAUGAUUAAUAGGGAUAGUUGGGGGUAUUCAUAUUUAAUUGUCAGAGGUGAAAUUCUUGGAUUUAUGAAAGAUGAACAACUGCGAGAGCAUUUACCAAGGAUGUUUUCAUUAA